CACCUACAACUAAAAAUGUUUUUUUAUAAAUGCCAAAAUUCUAACCUUCCCUCAUGUUUUACAUAAAGGGUGGUAUUGUAUACAAAGUCCUGUGUGACUUAGUUUUGUUCAUUUAACAGAGUAUCUCAGAAAUCUUCCCAGAUCCCUACAUGGCCUCCUCAUUCUGUGUUCCAGGUCCUUCAAAUACAGCACUGCUUAUUUUCAGCCCAAAUUAUGCAAGUAUGUAAGACUUCCUCUAACUCUGUAAAUAGUAAUUUUCUGACUUUGCUUUUCCCUUCAACAUACUGAUUCAUCAAUUCUAAGAUGCAUAUUUUGUCUCAUUUUAACAUCUCUGAAAUCAAGGAGCCUCUUCCAGCCACUGAUGGCCAGGCAGCAGCUGUGUCACUGCCCUCACGAGCAUGAGCUUGGCCAGAGCUGUUUUACUGGCGUCACUGUUGAGGAGUUUGAUUGACAUUUAAAAUAUCUUUUAAAAAAGAUUGUUCAUUGUAAUGAAAGGUUACUGUGGUCACAGAAAGGCAGGAAAACGGAGCAGCAGGGGGAAUCAAGAGUAAUAAAGCAAACAUUUCACUUUGGAGGAAUUGCCAAAAUUCUAAAUGUUCUUCUAAAAAAAAAAAAAAAAAAA